AAGGGAGACCUAAUUCAGGUAGGAGACGAAAAAAAAGUAGUCCCUACCAAGAAUCAAUCCCAAAAGGUCGGAGCGAGGCAAAAUUGGCUUCCAAACUAGGUUCUGGGUUCACACAAGACCUGAAUCAGGAACAAGGGCUAUUAGCUCAGGUGGUUAGAGCGCACCCCUGAUAAGGGUGAGGUCCCUGGUUCGAGUCCAGGAUGGCCCACCUGUACAGGUGGCAAAAACAAAGAAAAGAAGCGAGGAAUCAGCACCUUAUCUUACUUAUAUAGUAAGAGAGAAUGCUGGCUCUGAGUUCAGAGUCCAGAGGAACCUUGAAAACUGCAUAGAGCUAGGUGAAAAAGCCAAAAAAGAAGACCACAA
rnacentral:tRNA from 1 species